rnacentral:lncRNA from 1 species
UUUUUUUAAAAAACUUUUCCCCUGAAAUGAGAAUCUCAUCUUCUGUUUCUCUCUCUUCUCUUUCAACCCUUCUAGGGUUUUCUCUUAAUGAUUUCACCAUAGCUCAUUGAGAUUUACUUUAAUAUGGCAUUAGAGCAUAGAUUCUGAUUCCUCGUGACACGAGCUUCAUCUUCAACGAUAAUUCAAUUGAAGAUCUCACCAAAAUUAUUAUUAAAGUUCGAGCAGUUGGUGAAUUCGCUACUACAGGACAAAAAUGUUGGGGCUUUCGGUGUAUUUUGUUACAUAGCCUAAAUCGACUCGAAUUCCUGAUUUUAUGAUGGAUUCGAUGGAUUUGGGGCUAAAUUGAAACUAGUGUUUGAGUUGCACACGAAGACCUUGCUUCUUCGGCUUUUGAGAAGAAGGUUGGUAAUACCGAUCUAAUCUACAGCUCUGAAGUUUAUACUGAUGUGAUUUUAGGUUACAUAGUGUAGAAAUUUAUGUAUACAAUAAUUUGUAUGUUAUCGACUUUGAGCCUAUUGUCUGUUACGGUAUGAAUUUAGGUUGUGUUAGGAGGUAAUAUAGAUAGUCAUGUAGAUAACCUAAUUUUACCCUCAGUACCCACUACUGAGGGUUUCACUCCCUUCACACUAAAUACCUCUCAUCCUUUCUAACCGUUUGAACUGAUUCCCUUAAAUAAGGGAAUAAUUGUAUUGAUUUUGCUCUAAUUGGUUUUGAAUUCCAUAAUUACUGUACAAUUGUGACUCUUUCCUUACUUUAACUAGUUUCGAACAAUUAUAUAUAUGCUCUCUCAUUAACAAUCAAGGAAAAAAGAAAAAAAUACGAACACACUUUGGUUCAAAACUCUCUCUCACACUCAAAACUUUCUGCUCUCUUUUGUGUGACUUACUACUGUUCUAAGCUAGCCGGCUGCAAGCCAAGGCUAACUAUUGGGUUCUCUUUCACUUUGUGCUUGUUGUUUUCACUAGUAUGCUUCUGCAUAUAGUUUUGUUGUUCAACCUACAACUAACAUGUCUAGUUCAUUGUCUUCUUUUCUGCAUGCUUCUGAAUAUGUCCAAACCCCCUUAGGAUUAGCCUGCACAUUAAUUCCUUUCUAGUAUCCCCCAAUGCGAUUCUUCAUUACUUAUGAUUUCUAGCAUGCACCUUCAUGUGUAAAGUAGUUGGCUAUCCUAAGUCUGUCUGAUUCUUUGUUAUUUCUAAAGUUCAUGCUGUAAUUUAAUCCCUUGAACCCCUUUUAGGACCUCUCUGAUUCUGUACCUAUGAGCAUCUUUUCCUACUAUGUGCUCUAUACUUCCCCAAAUCCGCAUUGCCCUUGAGUGAAUGUUUGUACGUGUUUGAUUCUAUGAGUGCUGAUGAACCUCUUCUAGUUAUAUAUUUGGUUUGUUGUUUGUUGAUCACCUUACCCUUUUCAAAAUUAUCUUAUUUAAUAACUCCCCAUGUUGUUUUUUACAAAACUAAUUCAAACAAUUUCUUUUAACAUUGUUUUCUUACUAAAACCCUUUCAAAACUAUGUCAAGCACUCUCACUCUACUCUAAGACACUUAAGAUUGUCCCUCUAAUGUAUGAAUGCGUAGGAUCCCUCUAAACUCUGAUACAUUAGAGUUGGAUCUUCCACACUGCAGUUACUCAACUAUGACUAUGAAAUAUGGGUGUGAGCACUGCGCGAGAUCCCUUGAGGUCUUUACGGAAUGACACACCCGAAUUAUAUGAAAGGCUAUAAGGUAAUCUGUCAUUGGAAACUUCAAAAAUCUGGGCCUAUUUGUAGGCUCCCUAUAGUGUAACUUCUUAUUUUUCUUAUCUACUUAUGUAUUCAUUCGAUAUUGGCCUAUAAUAAUUUGUUGUAAAUGAAUAUUGGGGUUGGCUAGUGAAAAGG